rnacentral:rRNA from 1 species
GACGAACGCUGGCGGCGUGCCUAAUACAUGCAAGUAGAACGCACAGUUUAUACCGUAGCUUGCUACACCAUAGACUGUGGGUUGCGAACGGGUGAGUAACGCGUAGGUAACCUGCCUGGUAGCGGGGGAUAACUAUUGGAAACGAUAGCUAAUACCGCAUAAUAUUGAUUAUUGCAUGAUAAUUGAUUGAAAGAUGCUAUUGCAUCACUACCAGAUGGACCUGCGUUGUAUUAGCUAGUAGGUGAGGUAACGGCUCACCUAGGCGACGAUACAUAGCCGACCUGAGAGGGUGAUCGGCCACACUGGGACUGAGACACGGCCCAGACUCCUACGGGAGGCAGCAGUAGGGAAUCUUCGGCAAUGGACGAAAGUCUGACCGAGCAACGCCGCGGGAGUGAAGAAGGUUUUCGGAUCGUAAAGCUCUGUUGUAAGAGAAGAACGGGUGUGAGAGUGGAAAGUUCACACUGUGACGGUAACUUACCAGAAAGGGACGGCUAACUACGUG